rnacentral:rRNA from 1 species
CGAUAGAACGGCUGCGCGGCGUGCUUAUACACAUUGCAAGUCGAACGGUUGAGGCAGUGCUUAGCAGGCGUACUCGAGUGGCGAACGGGUGAGUAACACGUGGGUGAUCUGCCCUGCACUUCGGGAUAAGCCUGGGAAACUGGGUCUAAUACCGGAUAGGAGCCAUUUGUUAGUGUGAUGGUUGGAAAGUUUUUUCGGUGUAGGAUGAGCUCGCGGCCUAUCAGCUUGUUGGUGGGGUAAUGGCCUACCAAGGCGGCGACGGGUAGCCGGCCUGAGAGGGUGGACGAGCCACAUUGGGACUGAGAUACGGCCCAGACUCCUACGGGAGGCAGCAGUGGGGAAUAUUGCACAAUGGUGCGCAAGCCUGAUGCAGCGACGCCGCGUGGCGGUGAUGACGGAAGUCGGGUUGUAAACUCCUUUCGCUAGGGACGAAGCUUUGUUGUGACGGUACCUAGAUAAGAAGCACCGGCUAACUACGUGCCAGCAGCCGCGGUAAUACAUAGGGUGCGAGCGUUGUCCGGAAUUACUGGGCGUAAAUGGGCUCGUAGGUGGUAUUGUCGCGUCGUCUGUGAACAUUCCGGGGCUUAACUCCGGGCGUGCAGGCGAUACGGGCAUAACUUGAGUACUGUAGGGGUAACUGGAAUUCCUGGUGUAGCGGUGAAAUGCGCAGAUAUCAGGACGGAACACCGAUGGCGAAGUGCAGGUUACUGGGCAGUUACUGACGCUGAGGAGCGAAAGCAUGGGUAGCGAACAGGAUUAGAUACCCUGGUAGUCCAUGCCGUAAACGGUGGUGCGCUAGGUGUGAGGGUCUUAUUCACGACUUUCGUGCCGUAGCUAACGCAUUAAGCGCCCCGCCUGGGGAGUACGGCCGCAAGGCUAACAACUCAAUAGGAAUUGACGGGCGGCCCGCACAAGCGGCGGAGCAUGUGGAUUAAUUCGAUGCAACGCGAAUGAACCUGUACCUGGGCUUGACAUACACUGGAUCGCUGCAGAGAUGUAGUUUCCGCUUCUGUGGCUGGAUGUACAGGUGGUGCAUACUUGUCGUCAGUGCGUGUUCGUGAGAUGUUGAGGUUAAGUCCGCGCAACGACGCGCAACUCCUUGAUCUUAUGUUGCUCAGCAUCUUGGUUGGGGACUCAUGAGAGACUGCCGGGGUCAACUCGGAGGAAGGUGGGGAUGACGUCAAAUCAUCAUGCCCCUUAUGUCCAGGGCUUCACACAUGCUACAAUGGAUCGGUACAACGCGCAGCGACAAGAUGAGGUGGAGCGAAUCGCUGAAAGCCGGCCUUAGUUCGGAUUGGGGUCUGCAACUCGACCCCAUGAAGUCGGAGUCGCUAGUAAUCGCAGAUCAGCAAUGCUGCGGUGACUAUACGUAGCCCGGGAUU